CAAUAGCGUAUAUUAAAGUUGUUGCGGUUAAAAGCUCGUAGUUGGAUUUCUGCCGAGGACGACCGGUCCGCCCUCUGGGUGAGUAUCUGGCUCGGCCUGGGCAUCUUCUUGGAGAACGUAGCUGCACUUGACUGUGUGGUGCGGUAUCCAUGACUUUUACUUUAAGGAAAUUAGAGUGUUUCAAGCAGGCAUACGCCUUGAAUACAUUAGCAUGGAAUAAUAAGAUAGGACCUCGAUUCUAUUUUGUUGGUUUCGUUAGAGCUGAGGUAAGUAGAUUAAUUAAGGGAGUAGUUGGGGGUCGGAUUCGUUAUUUAACUAAGUCAGAGUGAAAUUACUUUGGUAGUUUGUUUAAAGUAACGGACGUACUGCGAAAGACAUUUGUCCAACGGAAGUGUUUUCUAUUGAUCAAGAACGAAAGUUAAGGGGAGUCGAAGACGAUUAGAUACCA
rnacentral:rRNA from 1 species